AGAGUUUGAUCCUGGCUCAGAUUGAACGCUGGCGGCAGGCCUAACACAUGCAAGUCGAACGGUAGCACAGAGGAGCUUGCUCCUUGGGUGACGAGUGGCGGACGGGUGAGUAAUGUCUGGGAAACUGCCCGAUGGAGGGGGAUAACUACUGGAAACGGUAGCUAAUACCGCAUAACGUCGCAAGACCAAAGAGGGGGACCUUCGGGCCUCUUGCCAUCGGAUGUGCCCAGAUGGGAUUAGCUAGUAGGUGGGGUAACGGCUCACCUAGGCGACGAUCCCUAGCUGGUCUGAGAGGAUGACCAGCCACACUGGAACUGAGACACGGUCCAGACUCCUACGGGAGGCAGCAGUGGGGAAUAUUGCACAAUGGGCGCAAGCCUGAUGCAGCCAUGCCGCGUGUAUGAAGAAGGCCUUCGGGUUGUAAAGUACUUUCAGCGAGGAGGAAGGCGUUGUGGUUAAUAACCGCAACGAUUGGCGUUACUCGCAGAAGAGGCACCGGCUAACUCCGUGCCAGCCGCCGCGGUAA
rnacentral:rRNA from 1 species